CCUACGGGUGGCAGCAGUGAGGAAUAUUGGUCAAUGGACGCGAGUCUGAACCAGCCAAGCCGCGUGCGGGAAGACGGCUCUAUGAAUUGUAAACUUCUUUUGUACGGGGAUAAACGCAGAUACGCGUCUCUGUCUGAAAGUAUCGUACGAAUAAGGAUCGGCUAACUCCGUGCCAGCAGCCGCGGUAAUACGGAGGAUUCAAGCGUUAUCCGGAUUUAUUGGGUUUAAAGGGUGCGUAGGCGGUCGGAUAAGUUAGAGGUGAAAUCCCGGGGCUCAACGUCGGAAUUGCCUUUGAUACUGUUCGGCUAGAGAGUAGUUGCGGUAGGCGGAAUGUAUGGUGUAGCGGUGAAAUGCUUAGAGAUCACACAGAACACCGAUUGCGAAGGCAGCUUACCAAGCUACUUCUGACGUUGAGGCACGAAAGCGUGGGGAGCAAACAGGAUUAGAUACCCGGGUAGUC
rnacentral:rRNA from 1 species